GGAAUUUUGGACAAUGGGCGAAAGCCUGAUCCAGCAAUGCCGCGUGAGUGAAGAAGGCCUUCGGGUUGUAAAGCUCUUUUGUCAGGGAAGAAACGGUGAAGGCUAAUAUCCUUUGCUAAUGACGGUACCUGAAGAAUAAGCACCGGCUAACUACGUGCCAGCAGCCGCGGUAAUACGUAGGGUGCAAGCGUUAAUCGGAAUUACUGGGCGUAAAGCGUGCGCAGGCGGUUUUGUAAGUCUGAUGUGAAAUCCCCGGGCUCAACCUGGGAAUUGCAUUGGAGACUGCAAGGCUAGAAUCUGGCAGAGGGGGGUAGAAUUCCACGUGUAGCAGUGAAAUGCGUAGAUAUGUGGAGGAACACCGAUGGCGAAGGCAGCCCCCUGGGUCAAGAUUGACGCUCAUGCACGAAAGCGUGGGGAGCAAACAGGAUUAGAUACCCUAG
rnacentral:rRNA from 1 species